UGCGCAAACACUGGUUCCCGUUCGAUCACCAAAGUUCAGCACUGUCGGGCCCGGUUAGUACUCAAAUAGGGUACCGCUGGGAACACCAGCUACUG